rnacentral:rRNA from 1 species
CCUACGGGUGGCUGCAGGGGGGAAUAUUGCACAAUGGGCGCAAGCCUGAUGCAGCGACGCCGCGUGAGCGAUGAAGGACUUCGGGUCGUAAAGCUCUGUCCUAAGGGAAGAAUAAUGACGGUACCUUAGGAGGAAGCCCCGGCUAACUACGGGCCAGCAGCCGCGGUAACACGUAGGGGGCGAGCGUUGUCCGGAGUCACGGGGCGUAAAGGGUGCGGAGGCGGCCCUGCAAGUCAGGAGUUGAAUCCCUCGGCUCAACCGAGGUCAGCUAUUGAAACUGUAGGGCUGGAGUGUAUGAGAGGAGAGCGGAAUUCCGAGUGUAGCGGUGAAAUGCGUAGAUAUUAGGAGGAACACCAGUGGCGAAGGCGGCUCUCUGGACUGGAACUGACGGUGAGGCACGAAAGCGUGGGGAGCGAACAGGAUUAGAUACCCUUGUAGUC